rnacentral:misc_RNA from 1 species
UGACAAUUCAAAAUGUGCAUGCAGGUGCAGAUAUUUCCAAACCAAGCUUGAAGGAUGAAGUCUGUGUCCUUACAACCCUUUCUCCAUGCAGGUCAACAAUCAACACUGAGAUUCUCUUAAUCGCUGGAAAAAACUUCACACCUUCAAGGAUCUUGUCCAGAAAAAUCCCUUCUUUUUGGUUGUGUGGUUCUCUGCUAAGGAUUUACCACCCUUUGAUCCAAACGAAAAAUGCCUCUUCAAGAAAGGCUUUGCUAAGGAGCCCUUCAUGCUGGAACUGGAGGCCAUCUUGGGACCCUUUCCUUCAUGCCCACCACCUUUUACACGAUCAAACAUGAUAGAAUCACCAUCAAAAUCACUAUCCACAACACGGUUCCGUGACCUCUUGUUUUUUGCUUUUGACUCCAUUUCUGCUUUAAAGGCUUUUUGAGACAGCUUCUGGGUCUGUUUCUCCCCCAAAGUACAAACAGGACAAGUAGGAUCAUAUUUGCUAAUUUCAGGUGUCAUAGUCUCCAAACACUCAGCAUGGUAAACAUGCCCACAAGUUAGAACAGCAACAACAGAGAGCUCAUUACUCAAAACAAGCUUCGGGCUGCUCCACAAAGAUUUCUCGGUCAAUAACUUCGAGCAAAUCCCACAUGUUUGAAGAUCAAC